UACAGAGGGUGCGAGCGUUAAUCGGAAUUACUGGGCGUAAAGCGCGCGUAGGCGGCUUUGCAAGUCGGGUGUGAAAUCCCCAGGCUUAACCUGGGAACUGCAUUCGAGACUGCAUUGCUAGAGUAUGGGAGAGGGAAGUGGAAUUUCCGGCGUAGCGGUGAAAUGCGUAGAUAUCGGAAGGAACAUCAGUGGCGAAAGCGACUUCCUGGACCAAUACUGACGCUCAUGUGCGAAAGCGUGGGGAGCAAACAGG
rnacentral:rRNA from 1 species